rnacentral:rRNA from 1 species
UAUGGAGAGUUUGAUCCUGGCUCAGAGUGAACGCUGGCGGCGUGCCUAAUACAUGCAAGUCGAACGAUGAAGCUUCUAGCUUGCUAGAGUGCUGAUUAGUGGCGCACGGGUGAGUAACGCAUAGGUCAUGUGCCUCUUAGUUUGGGAUAGCCAUUGGAAACGAUGAUUAAUACCAGAUACUCCCUACGGGGGAAAGAUUUAUCGCUAAGAGAUCAGCCUAUGUCCUAUCAGCUUGUUGGUAAGGUAAUGGCUUACCAAGGCUAUGACGGGUAUCCGGCCUGAGAGGGUGAACGGACACACUGGAACUGAGACACGGUCCAGACUCCUACGGGAGGCAGCAGUAGGGAAUAUUGCUCAAUGGGGGAAACCCUGAAGCAGCAACGCCGCGUGGAGGAUGAAGGUUUUAGGAUUGUAAACUCCUUUUGUUAGAGAAGAUAAUGACGGUAUCUAACGAAUAAGCACCGGCUAACUCCGUGCCAGCAGCCGCGGUAAUACGGAGGGUGCAAGCGUUACUCGGAAUCACUGGGCGUAAAGAGCGCGUAGGCGGGAUAGUCAGUCAGGUGUGAAAUCCUAUGGCUUAACCAUAGAACUGCAUUUGAAACUACUAUUCUAGAGUGUGGGAGAGGUAGGUGGAAUUCUUGGUGUAGGGGUAAAAUCCGUAGAGAUCAAGAGGAAUACUCAUUGCGAAGGCGACCUGCUGGAACAUUACUGACGCUGAUUGUGCGAAAGCGUGGGGAGCAAACAGGAUUAGAUACCCUGGUAGUCCACGCCCUAAACGAUGGAUGCUAGUUGUUGGAGGGCUUAGUCUCUCCAGUAAUGCAGCUAACGCAUUAAGCAUCCCGCCUGGGGAGUACGGUCGCAAGAUUAAAACUCAAAGGAAUAGACGGGGACCCGCACAAGCGGUGGAGCAUGUGGUUUAAUUCGAAGAUACACGAAGAACCUUACCUAGGCUUGACAUUGAGAGAAUCCGCUAGAAAUAGUGGAGUGUCUAGCUUGCUAGACCUUGAAAACAGGUGCUGCACGGCUGUCGUCAGCUCGUGUCGUGAGAUGUUGGGUUAAGUCCCGCAACGAGCGCAACCCCCUUUCUUAGUUGCUAACAGGUUAUGCUGAGAACUCUAAGGAUACUGCCUCCGUAAGGAGGAGGAAGGUGGGGACGACGUCAAGUCAUCAUGGCCCUUACGCCUAGGGCUACACACGUGCUACAAUGGGGUGCACAAAGAGAAGCAAUACUGCGAAGUGGAGCCAAUCUUCAAAACAUCUCUCAGUUCGGAUUGCAGGCUGCAACUCGCCUGCAUGAAGCUGGAAUCGCUAGUAAUCGCAAAUCAGCCAUGUUGCGGUGAAUACGUUCCCGGGUCUUGUACUCACCGCCCGUCACACCAUGGGAGUUGUGUUUGCCUUAAGUCAGGAUGCUAAAUUGGCUACUGCCCACGGCACACACAGCGACUGGGGUGAAGUCGUAACAAGGUAACCGUAGGUGAACCUGCGGUUGGAUCACCUCCUU